rnacentral:lncRNA from 1 species
GAGAUGUUUUUUCCAAGUCCUUUAUGGAGAACUAUGAUAAUAGCGAAACCUUUAUUUCUUAUAAUGUAAGGAAUGUCAUUCCUGAUUAAGAGAAUUUCAUUCAUAUACAAAAUAAGAAAUACACUCAUAGAACUACUAAUCCAUUUGUAUUUGCAGGAUUCUUCUUCAUUCUCAACGAAACCAUGCAUUUUGAUCACUUAUCAAAAUGCAUGUUCCAACUCCGAAAUAUUUAGCAUUACCACA